rnacentral:tRNA from 1 species
GUCUCAGUAGCGUAGUGGUUAACGCACGACCCCGGUUGGGCAUGAGACGCCGGUUCGAAUCCCGCCUGAGAUG